CAAAGAAUAGUUUAAGAAGAGCGCUAGCUUUGGGGGCUAGUGGUGGGGGUUUGAUUCCCUCUUCUUUGA
rnacentral:tRNA from 1 species